UGCAGCCUUGGGAGCCCCCGCAGGCUGUGCUGCCCCUGCCUGUCACUGCCCCUGCCUGUCACCGCAGCCUCCUUGUUAGAGAAACACACCUGAACAGAUGCGAGCAGGACCUCCAGUCUUUGUGAAACACCUUUAGGAUCGGAUCUCUGGUUUCACUCGCUGGGAGCAAUUGCCUUCAAACACCACUGACUUUCUCUUGUAUCUGUGAGUCGAGAUCUUCGUGAGGCGGAGUCGGGAGACCCUGGGGGGCAGUCAGAUCUUUGCCCCAGGGGUCAGUGAGUACCUGUCACAGCCAGGCACAGUUGCGGGGUUUAGAGACGCAGCAACGAGGAAAAGAGGGGCGUCCCCGUGCUGGUGGCAUGGAGUUCCAGUGGGGCAGGUGACAGUGAGUGCUGGCAGCCAGAGCCUGGAGGGGGCCGUUCCUCUAGACCAGCCUC